CAGCAGCCGCGGUAACACGGAGGGUGCAAGCGUUAAUCGGAAUUACUGGGCGUAAAGCGCACGCAGGCGGUCUGACAAGUCAGAUGUGAAAUCCCCGGGCUUAACCUGGGAACUGCAUUUGAAACUGUCAGGCUGGAGUCUUGUAGAGGGGGGUGGAAUUCCAGGUGUAGCGGUGAAAUGCGUAGAGAUCUGGAGGAAUACCGGUGGCGAAGGCGGCCCCCUGGACAAAGACUGACGCUCAGGUGCGAAAGCGUGGGGAGCAAACAGGAUUAGAUACCCGGGUAGUCCCUGUCUCUUAUAA
rnacentral:rRNA from 1 species